CAAAAUGGUUAAGAUCCUGACAACUAAACAAAGCAGCUAUUUUCCUACUCUGAAGGACAUUUUUCUGGCUGUGGAAAAUGGCAAUAGCUUACCUUUCACCUGAGGACCUUUUGAGGGGAGAAAUAGAAGAGUCACUGGAAAAGGUGCAGGUGGCUGUUAACAUCUUAAAGACUUUCAAAAACUCCUUUUUCAACUAUAGAAAAAAAUUGGCAAGCUAUUUUAUGGGAAGAAAGCUGAGACCAUGGGAUUUCCAGUCUCAUCUGGUGUUUUGCAGAUUUGACAAGUUUCUUGAUCGUUUAAUAAAAAUGGAGGUAUUCAUUUUUUGAUUUUAUUUAUUCAUGUGGAAGGUGGGUGCAAAAAGCCAGUAGCUUUUCACAUGAUUCAUGGAACAGUUUACUUUAUAUCAUAGGUGGAGGUCUCCUUUCUCAGUGAUUCUCAUAAGGAGCUCAGCAGGCCAAUGCUAUGAUGAUACAAGGGCAUUUUUUAAAUCUUUAAUUUGGAUUUUUUAAAAGUUCAUUUUUGAUUCCAUUAUUACAUUGAGUAUAAUCAGUGACUCUUAGAAUUUACUAAUCUGGAAGAGAGUUGUAAAUCAGGAAGCAGUAAGCUAAUCCUCUGUAAAUAAAUCCACUUUUCCUUUUAUAUAUUUAAUGCUUAAAAUUGGUAUUUCAUACCCUAAAACCCAUUGGAUAAUUUAAAUUAUCACACUGUUUUUU
rnacentral:sRNA from 1 species